CCAAUCCCAGAUGGUGUGUCUCCCAUAAAUAUCUUUGUAUGUGUCUUUGGAGGUUAUUCUUGAGCUAAGAAGGGAUUUUCUCUUAAAUCAAGUGAAUAUUGAAGGUCAUGCCCUUAAAUCAAGCGAAUAUCUUUGCAGGUAAAGAUAUUUCACAUGGACAUGCAGGAGAAAGGGAUGCUCCCAGGCCUGCCAUAUCAGAAGCCAAUCGGAACUACUCAAUGGAGUGGCAGCUUCUAUGACCAGAUGGCCCAGGCAGCUAAGUCUGGAGUUCAAGAACCCCAGACUCCCCAUCACUUGAUAGAGGCUAGACAAGCCCUGAACCCAGUGGAACCCCCAGCCUCCAGGCUGCAGAGCAAGAGCUAAGGGUGGUUUGGAGAAAGCCACAGGUGCUUAAAAGAAGUCAAAGAGGCAAGUUCAAUAGAGGGAGCAAUGCACAGGGCCCAAGGAGGAGUC
rnacentral:lncRNA from 1 species